rnacentral:rRNA from 1 species
UACGGGGGAGGCAAGCGUUGUUCGGAAUUACUGGGCGUAAAGGGCUCGUAGGCGGCCAACUAAGUCGGAUGUGAAAUCCCCAAGCUUAACUUGGGAACUGCAUCCGAUACUGGAUGGCUUGAAUCCGGGAGAGGGAUGCAGAAUUCCAGGUGUAGCGGUGAAAUGCGUAGAUAUCUGGAGGAAUACCGGUGGCGAAGGCGGCAUCCUGGACCGGCAUUGACGCUGAGGAGCGAAAGCUAGGGGAGCAAACGGG